UAAUUGAUAUUUCCCCCCCCACCCCGUUUCACAACUUUCUGUGGUUUUGAGAACUCACUAAAACAAUGAACAUGAAUUUCUGACCAGAACAAAAAUUGCCUGUCUCAGGAGAACUUGGCUGGUUGGACUUGACAAUCCUAAAGUUCUUUUCCAACCUAGCUGAUUUUUUUUUCCUGUGAUUUUUAUGAUUCUAAAAGCACCCUCUGUAGUUUUCUAACUAUUUCUAUUUCCAAUAGCUUUCCUCUUGGCUGUGCCUACAGGAAAUAAGUGCCCAAUAAACAGGCACUGGCUCUUACCUAAAGCACUUUGCAUUCUGCGGAACGAGCGGGGAUGCUCAAUUGACAACUCGCUUCCUGCCCGCUGUCGUGUGGGGAAAGUGUCAAGGAGAAAAACUGUCAGGGAGGGAAAUAAUAAUGAGAGAUGGGUGCUGGGCUGGCGGGGUUUCCUGCAGAGCUGCCCGUGCACAGAUGGCUUCCUGAGAUAGCUCCUGCCGGCCCUCAUGGCUCAGCCUGGAGAAGAAAAGGCUCUGGGGACACCUCAGAGCCCUUCCAGUGCCUAAAGGAGCUCCAGGAGUGCUGGACUUUGGACAAGGGGCUGGGAGGACAGGACAAGGGGGAAUGGCUUGGCACUGACAGAGGGUUAGGUGGGGAUUGGGCAAGAAUCCUUCCCUGAGAGGGUGCUGAGGCCCUGGCACAGGAUGCCAGGUGGGUGGGCUCAGAAACAAAAAUUCUGGAUGUUAAGACGGCCUAUGAGUAAGUCUGUAUCUUGCAAGCCUUUCCUUUUGAAAGGAUUCAUGGGUUUAUGAAUUUACAGCAGUAUUGGAGAUAAAGGAGAACAUCUGCUGCCAAAAUCAGCAGCAGCACACAGCUUAUCUCGAGGUGUUCCCAGAAUCCUGGAAUCUUGGGGUUGGAAAGGACCUUCAAGUCCAUCUCAUCCCAAUCUCCUCCUCUGGGACACCUUCCAUAGCCCUGGUUGCUCUGGUUGCUGGUGAACAUCUGACAGGACCACUCUUUACCAACACUAUUGCAGCUUUAAUAAGUCUGGAGGGGUUAUGAAAUCACUUCCUAGGUCAGUGUGGGCAAAAUUCCGUGCCUGGCCUGGAAAAGUGACUUUGUUCUCUCAGUUGUACCUCUGGUCACUGCCAUGGAAUUCAUCUUGAUAUUCCUUCAGCAAGUGCAUUAUGUUCCAUUAACUUCAGGGCAAACGUGGUGGCGUGUAAUGAAAACACUGAAAAGCUUGAAAACUAAUCUAAAACCAGGAAAUCAACCUUGAUUUUCAUGGAGGAGAAAAAAAAUAAUAACCUCAGUCUUGCUGGGUAGGGCUCUAGCAAGGAAACUUUAGUUCUUCAUGAAUUAAGCUGGAUUUUUCUUCAUUCCAAAGCUUUAUUUUGUGUGAAUGAUUGUGUGACUGAUUGAGAGAUGGAGAGACAGACACACAUCUGGCAGAGACAGCCUCUCCCCACUUCCUUGGCCAAUGUUUACCUCAAUCACCUCCUGCCUGCACUGGCUCAAAUCUCGCCCAGCAUAGCACAAAACUCGGGGCAGCGGGAAUUUCCGGCAGAUAUCACUAAGAGCACGCUUAUAAUAAAUCAUAACACUCGUUUUCUCACUUCCUUUCCCUGAAAUUUUGAGUUUUCUAACAAGCUGCCCGUUUCCCUUUAAUUACACAGACAAAUCCCCACCUCCAAUAUCCACACUGGGCUCUUUUACAACCACAAUAUUUAUUGCUAACUGACCCAUGGAACCUAUUCAGCAUAUAACCCUCAUUUUUUUUUUUCUUUUUGACCACAAUCCAUUUCCCCCCAUGUGCAGGUUUCUCUGGCUCCCUGUAUCUCAUCCCAUCCCAUUAGCUCUCAGGUGCUGAAUAGCCUGUUCCAGCACAUCAAACUUUAAUUUAAACAGAAGAUGAUCAAUAAGCUUAGCAAAUUGCCUAUGGCAACAUCAGCACUUUGAAUCAAAGGGGUUUAUAGGUAAUUUAAAGGGCAUCCUCCACCAUGUGGUAGGUACCUAUUGCUUGCUUUGCCAAGAACAGCUCAGUUGGCUGAACACGAGGAAGAAGAGCUUCUCCUCCACAGAAAUGGCACAGAGCAUCCAGUCUGGAUGCUUUUGAAAGUGUGUUUUGAAACCACAAAAGACAGGGCAUCUCAGGAGGGGGGAAAAAAGCCUAACUCAAAAGGCUUGUUAAAAAAAAAGCCCUGAAAAAUCAGAGUUUAAAAUCAAUAUCAGCGCUAAAGAAGCAGAAGUGUAAAAGGAAAACACACACACUCAUCAGUCCAACCCUCCUCUGUGGUGCUGGGGCUUGGGACCCUCCUGAGGGAGGAGAAAUCAUCAUUUAAUCUUUGCCUAAAAGCACUGCAGUGAUUUCCAGGCAUGCAGGCAGCCUUUGGCCUGGCACCUGGAAUCACAGAAUAACAGAAUGGUUUAGCUUUGAAGGGACCUUGAAGGCCAUGACCUCAAAACCAUCUCAUUCCAACCUCCCUGCCAAGGGACAACUUCCACCAUCCCAGACUGCUCCAAGCCCUGUCCAGCCUGGCCUGGGACACCUCCUAGGAUGGGGAAACCACAGCUUCUCUGGGCACCCUGUGCCAGGGCCUCAGCACCCUCACAGGGAACGACUUCCUCUCUAUCUAAAGAAUUUCUCUCUAUCUAAACUCACCCUCUCUCAUUUUAAAACCAUUCCCCUUUCUCCCAUCACUCCAUGACCUUGGGAAAACAAAAAAAAAAAAGAUGCUCUUCUUCAGGAUCCUUGAAAUCCUGUGGUAGGAAAGGGAAUUCUUUGGGCAGUGGGUAGCAGCAGCAGCAAAAGUGUCCGAGCUGUUUCAGACACACAAACCUUAUUUAGGAGCACGAGGGGCCCAAAAGGCCCUUGUGAGAGGGGAUAUAUGGCUCAAAAGGCACUUAGCUCCUAGCUGGCUCCGGGUCGGAAAUUACACAAUGGAUGUCGAAAUCUUGGCUUGUUGAAAAGUUGUCAUUCGAGUAAUGGAUGCUUUAUUUCCUGUUUUUGCUGAAAGCUAAAGCGAAACAUAAUUAGCAAGCGAGAAAGCAACCUUGGCAGCCAAACAAAAAAAGCACAUUUUUGGGCGCCCAAGCCAAUUAAAAUUGUUUAUGUAGCUCACGAACAAUAUUUUCCUCCAAAUCAUUAAAACAGAGGAUUCAUCAUAACACGGCCAGGCCUGGUGCUCCCAGCCCUGCUCCUGUCAGCUCCCAAGGAUGGACUGAGGGCACGCUGUGAUGUCCAGGAUGCUUUUAGGGAUCAAAGAGAAGAAAGGACUGGAAGGGGAAUGCUCAGCUUCCGUUUCUUUUGGGUUUGGGAUAAUCCUGAGCAUAGGAGAACUUUAAUUUGCCUUGGAGAUCAGCAUGCCUAUUAAUUAUAAAUUAAAAAUCUCUUCUUUCAGCCCUUUUUUCUCUGUAAAAUCAGAGUUGAAGAACCCCCCACUAUUCUUUUGAAUGCUUGAAUCCAUGGCCUGCUUGAUUCUCACGUGGAUGCCCAGAUUGUUUCUGAUGAUGUAAGGUCUGGCUUCUCUUCUUGCUACAUGAGAAAAGAAUCCUUCAGGAAAGAAACAGGGGAGGGACAAAUAUUCCUGCUCUUUGGGAUGAUGCUCAUCUGCUCUCCUUGUAACAAACCAUUGUGCUUUCCAUGUGAAUUCUCAGCUUCCAUUCCUGCAGCACUUGCUGAGGGAUGCUGAGGGAUCAGCAUCCUGAUGGAUGAAAUUAAUUCAUCUUUCCACUCUGGACGGGGUUAAAAGGCCAUUAUGAUGGACAGAGGAGAAGCAGAGGAAAAUCAGAGCAAGAUCUCCUGACUUGAACAAGGUUCCUGAAAAUCUCUCCUACAGCUCAGAAGCAGCCUAAGAAAUCAUGACUCAAAUGAAAACCGCAGUGAAAUGAGUGCAAAGCCAGUCUAUGUAAAGAUAAUUAAUAUAUAAUUAUAAUUUCCAGCCAUUCCCCGUCAAAAGGAAAGGAGGUAUCAGGUGAGGAAUUUGUCCUGUAUGGGCACUGUGGAUUCCCUAAAAUAACCAGUUAUCCUUCACCUUCAGUUACUUCAGUUUCACUCCUCUUUCACUUUUCUUUUGUAUGUGAUGUGCAGGAAGAAUCUGCUGUGCACCUUGGAGAGUGUGAGGUUUGAUUGGCAAUUCUCAGGUGUUGUGAGCAGGAAUAAAUUAUGAAUAUAAUUAGCAAAACCUAUUUUUUUUUUCUACUGACUGUGCCUGAUCAAAUCAGCUGAAGAGAUGAAGGGCUCAGGCAGAAAUUUCCUGGGGGGAGGUGUAAGAGGGCAGGCACUGGAUCCGCUCAUUUGUCAAGAACUGUUUGGACUCCUCCAUUCACAGAAAGAGUCAUAGAAACAAAGAUAAAAUUAUUCUAUCCAUGGAAAUAAAGGUAAAAAACUGGAAUUAGGCACAUGAUGAGCCCCAUGUUACCCAUUCCAUGUACAGUAAAACCUGGCCCUUGGCAGCAGCUUUGCCCUUCAAUUUCUCAUUUUCAUGAUACAUUUCAGCACUGGGUUGAAUAUCCUUUCAGGAAGAGCUUUUUUUUUACU